rnacentral:rRNA from 1 species
AUCCUGGCUCAGGAUGAACGCUAGCUACAGGCUUAACACAUGCAAGUCGUGGGGCAGCAUAUAGAUAGCUUGCUAUUUAUGAUGGCGACCGGCGCACGGGUGAGUAACGCGUAUCCAACCUUCCCCAUAGUAGGGUAUAGCCCGGCGAAAGUCGGAUUAAUCCCCUAUGUUGUUUGAAGCGGACAUCUAAUUCAAACCAAAGAUUUAUCGCUAUGGGAUGGGGAUGCGUCUGAUUAGGUUGCAGGCGGGGUAACGGCCCACCUGGCCGACGAUCAGUAGGGGUUCUGAGAGGAAGGUCCCCCACACUGGUACUGAGACACGGACCAGACUCCUACGGGAGGCAGCAGUGAGGAAUAUUGGUCAAUGGGCGCGAGCCUGAACCAGCCAAGUAGCGUGCCAGGAUGACGGCCCUACGGGUUGUAAACUGCUUUUAUGCGGGGAUAAAGUGCGGCACGUGUGCCGUUUUGCAGGUACCGCAUGAAUAAGGACCGGCUAAUUCCGUGCCAGCCGCCGC